rnacentral:rRNA from 1 species
AGAGUUUGAUCCUGGCUCAGGACGAACGCUGGCGGCGUGCCUAACACAUGCAAGUCGAACGGAGUUGAAAGGAGCUUGCUUUUUUCAACUCAGUGGCGGACGGGUGAGUAACGCGUGAGUAACCUGCCUUUCAGAGGGGGAUAACGUUCUGAAAAGAACGCUAAUACCGCAUAAGAUUGUAGUUUCGCAUGGGACAGCAAUCAAAGGAGCAAUCCGCUGAAAGAUGGACUCGCGUCCGAUUAGAUAGUUGGCGGGGUAACGGCCCACCAAGUCGACGAUCGGUAGCCGGACUGAGAGGUUGAUCGGCCACAUUGGGACUGAGACACGGCCCAGACUCCUACGGGAGGCAGCAGUGAGGGAUAUUGGGCAAUGGGGGAAACCCUGACCCAGCAACGCCGCGUGAGGGAUGACGGUUUUCGGAUUGUAAACCUCUGUCCUCUGUGAAGAUAGUGACGGUAGCAGAGGAGGAAGCUCCGGCUAACUACGUGCCAGCAGCCGCGGUAAUACGUAGGGAGCAAGCGUUGUCCGGAUUUACUGGGUGUAAAGGGUGCGUAGGCGGAUUGGCAAGUCAGAAGUGAAAUCCAUGGGCUUAACCCAUGAACUGCUUUUGAAACUGUUAGUCUUGAGUGAAGUAGAGGUAGGCGGAAUUCCCGGUGUAGCGGUGAAAUGCGUAGAGAUCGGGAGGAACACCAGUGGCGAAGGCGGCCUACUGGGCUUUAACUGACGCUGAGGCACGAAAGUGUGGGUAGCAAACAGGAUUAGAUACCCUGGUAGUCCACACUGUAAACGAUGAUUACUAGGUGUGGGGGGUCUGACCCCCUCCGUGCCGGAGUUAACACAAUAAGUAAUCCACCUGGGGAGUACGACCGCAAGGUUGAAACUCAAAGGAAUUGACGGGGGCC